rnacentral:sRNA from 1 species
CACUGAUAUAAUUUAAGUCAUUUAGUAAAGUACACAUCGCAUCCGUGGUUUUAAAAUUACCUUUUUUGUAAUAAAGCGCCAUAGUAAACAGUCAUACUGUGAUUGAACGAAAAAAUUGUUUAUCCCUGCUGAUCUGUUGAUGAAUUUGUUUUAAAAAGCUGACGUAAACAUUAAAAUAAGGUCAUAAAAAUGAUGACGGAAAAAAUCAACUCUCCGCUUGCCGAUAUUAUAAAUAAAAGUAAUCUAAACAAAGUUACAAACAUUGGCGACGAUAUGGGCUGG